GUGGACAUUGAUUUGCCGUGGACUUUGUAACGCCUAAUCUUCACCACUCAGUUUAAAGACAUUCUGCUGUGAAAAGCCAGCUUGUCAUUAUUGACAGUCGCGGUUAAAAACAAACUUGCCGUUAUAAAAUGAUGAGAUUGCAGAUGGUGAUAACAAACGUGCAGCCGCUGAUUACAACACAUAACAGUCUGGUUGUAUCGUAUAUACAGUUCCCAUCUACGUAUGCUUGUUAACGAUCCGACUAGACGGCCAAGAAAUGAAGAAUUGCAUCCUCCUUGUCUUCGGCUUGUUAGCCCUAGCAACGGCGGCUAAACUUAAUUACACCGGGCACAAGGUGAUUCGUGUUAUUCCCGAAGCUCCCCAAUCCUACACCACUAAAGCCACUGAAUACUACACUACUGCAGCCCCGGAGUAUUACCCCAAGAAAACUGAGUAAUACACCACACCUUACGCAGCUCCAGCCUACUACACUGAGCCCCCAAAGUAUUACCAGACUGAGGCUCCACAAUACUACACCACGAAGGCCCCCGAGUACUACACCAUAAAGUAUUCUGCUCCCAUCUACUACACCGAGGCACCCAAGUACUACUCAGCUCCAAGUUACUACCAAACUGAAGCCCCCAAAUACUA
rnacentral:lncRNA from 1 species